rnacentral:rRNA from 1 species
UACGGAGGGGGCAAGCGUUGUUCGGAAUUACUGGGCGUAAAGGGUGUGUAGGUGGCGCCGUAAGUCGGGUGUGAAAUCUUGGAGCUUAACUCCGAAACUGCAUUCGAUACUGCCGUGCUUGAGGACUGGAGAGGAGACUGGAAUUUACGGUGUAGCGGUGAAAUGCGUAGAUAUCGUAAGGAAGACCAGUGGCGAAGGCGGGUCUCUGGACAGUUCCUGACGCUGAGGCACGAAGGCCAGGGGAGCAAACGGG